GGAAUAUUGCGCAAUGGGCGAAAGCCUGACGCAGCGACGCCGCGUGGAGGAUGAAGGCCUUCGGGUCGUAAACUCCUGUCGAGGGGGACGAAAUGACCUUUCGCGAAUCACGGCAGGUCUUGACGGUACCCCUGGAGGAAGCCCCGGCUACCUCCGUGCCAGCAGCCGCGGUAAUACGGAGGGGGCCAGCGUUGCUCGGAAUUACUGGGCGUAAAGGGCUCGUAGGCGGUCUGAUAAGUCCUGUGUGAAAUCCCUUGGCUCAACCAAGGAAUUGCGCAGGAUACUGUCGGACUAGAGGCCGGGAGAGGGAAGUGGAAUUCCCAGUGUAGCGGUGAAAUGCGUAGAUAUUGGGAGGAACACCGGUGGCGAAGGCGGCUUCCUGGACCGGUUCUGACGCUGAGGAGCGAAAGCUAGGGUAGCAAAC
rnacentral:rRNA from 1 species